rnacentral:rRNA from 1 species
AGAGUUUGAUCCUGGCUCAGGAUGAACGCUGGCGGCGUGCUUAACACAUGCAAGUCGAACGGGCACUUCGGUGCUAGUGGCGGACGGGUGAGUAACGCGUGAGAAUCUGUCCUUAGGUCGGGGACAACAGUUGGAAACGACUGCUAAUACCCGAUGUGCCGAGAGGUGAAAGGUUAACUGCCUGAGGGUGAGCUCGCGUCCGAUUAGCUAGUUGGAGUGGUAACGGCACCCCAAGGCAACGAUCGGUAGCUGGUCUGAGAGGAUGAUCAGCCACACUGGGACUGAGACACGGCCCAGACUCCUACGGGAGGCAGCAGUGGGGAAUUUUCCGCAAUGGGCGCAAGCCUGACGGAGCAACGCCGCGUGUGGGAGGAAGGUUUUAGGACUGUAAACCACUUUUCUCAGGGAAGAAGCACUGACGGUACCUGAGGAAUAAGCAUCGGCUAAUUCCGUGCCAGCAGCCGCGGUAAUACGGGAGAUGCAAGCGUUAUCCGGAAUUAUUGGGCGUAAAGCGUUCGUAGGCGGUUUAACAAGUCCGCUGUCAAAUCCCGCAGCUUAACUGCGGACAGGCAGUAGAAACUGUUAAGCUAGAGUGUGGUAGGGGUAAGGGGAAUUCCCAGUGUAGCGGUGAAAUGCGUAGAUAUUGGGAAGAACACCAGCGGCGAAAGCGCCUUACUGGGCCACAACUGACGCUGAGGGACGAAAGCUAGGGGAGCGAAAGGGAUUAGAUACCCCUGUAGUCCUAGCCGUAAACGAUGGACACUAGGUGUUGUCUGUAUCGACCCGGACAGUGCCGUAGCCAACGCGUUAAGUGUCCCGCCUGGGGAGUACGCACGCAAGUGUGAAACUCAAAGGAAUUGACGGGGGCCCGCACAAGCGGUGGAGUAUGUGGUUUAAUUCGAUGCAACGCGAAGAACCUUACCAGGACUUGACAUCCCGCGAACCCUGCCGAAAGGUGGGGGUGCCUUCGGGAGCGCGGAGACAGGUGGUGCAUGGCUGUCGUCAGCUCGUGUCGUGAGAUGUUGGGUUAAGUCCCGCAACGAGCGCAACCCACGUUUUUAGUUGCCAUCAUUCAGUUGGGCACUCUAGAGAGACUGCCGUGGACAACACGGAGGAAGGUGUGGAUGACGUCAAGUCAUCAUGCCCCUUACGUCCUGGGCUACACACGUACUACAAUGCUAGGGACAAAGGGAAGCCAACCCGCGAGGGGGAGCAAACCUCGUAAACCCUGGCUCAGUUCAGAUUGCAGGCUGCAACUCGCCUGCAUGAAGGCGGAAUCGCUAGUAAUCGCAGGUCAGCAUACUGCGGUGAAUACGUUCCCGGGCCUUGUACACACCGCCCGUCACACCAUGGAAGUUGGCCACGCCCGAAGUCGUUACUCUAACCUAAGGGGGGAGGGCGCCGAAGGCAGGGCUGAUGACUGGGGUGAAGUCGUAACAAGGUAACC